rnacentral:rRNA from 1 species
GUGGGGAAUUUUGGACAAUGGGCGCAAGCCUGAUCCAGCAAUGCCGCGUGUGUGAAGAAGGCCUUCGGGUUGUAAAGCACUUUUGGCAGGAAAGAAAUAGUGCGUGCUAAUACCAUGCGCGAAUGACGGUACCUGCAGAAUAAGCACCGGCUAACUACGUGCCAGCAGCCGCGGUAAGACGUAGGGUGCAAGCGUUAAUCGGAAUGACUGGGCGUAAAGCGUGCGCAGGCGGUUUUGUAAGACAGGUGUGAAAUCCCCGGGCUCAACCUGGGAACUGCACUUGUGACUGCAAGGCUAGAGUGUGUCAGAGGGAGGUGGAAUUCCGCGUGUAGCAGUGAAAUGCGUAGAGAUGCGGAGGAACACCGAUGGCGAAGGCAGCCUCCUGGGAUAACACUGACGCUCAGGCACGAAAGCGUGGGGAGCAAACAGGAUUAGAUACCCCAGUAGUCC